rnacentral:rRNA from 1 species
UACGGAGGGUGCAAGCGUUAUCCGGAAUCAUUGGGUUUAAAGGGUCCGCAGGCGGGUUUAUAAGUCAGUGGUGAAAGCCUACAGCUCAACUGUAGAACUGCCAUUGAUACUGUAGAUCUUGAAUUCGGUCGAAGUGGGCGGAAUAUGACAUGUAGCGGUGAAAUGCUUAGAUAUGUCAUAGAACACCGAUAGCGAAGGCAGCUCACUAGGCCUGGAUUGACGCUCAGGGACGAAAGCGUGGGGAGCAAAC